rnacentral:miRNA from 1 species
UCAGGAUACAUUCAGUAUACGU